UACGAAGGUCCCAAGCGUUAUCCGGAUUUAUUGGGUUUAAAGGGUGCGUAGGCGGCUUAUUAAGUCAGUGGUGAAAGCUCCAUGCUUAACAUGGAAAUUGCCAUUGAUACUGAUGAGCUUGAGUAUAUUUGAAGUGGGCGGAAUGUGUCGUGUAGCGGUGAAAUGCUUAGAUAUGACACAGAACACCGAGUGCGUAGGCAGCUCACUAAACUAUAACUGACGCUGAGGCACGAAAGCAUGGGGAUCAAACAGG
rnacentral:rRNA from 1 species